GUUAUUUUUGUAUGGAUUGACAUUUUCAUAGGACAUAAAUAUGAAGCAUGUGGCUAGAGUUGGCUGGAUACUAUAUUUGUCUUUUCACUUUGCAUAUAUCUUUUGAAGUAAUGGUGAAUAUUUAAAGCUACAUUGUAGGUCACUUAGCAGUAUUUUCCGCUAAAGAUUUUAUGCAAAGUCGUAAGUGGUACCACAAUGCAUUAUUGAAAUUCCCUACUUCUGUGAAAUAUCAACG
rnacentral:lncRNA from 1 species